GGUCUACUUUGCUGGUUUCAUUUCUGGGAACUUGUCAGCAAAGAGUGUUUUUGAGAAUUUUUCAGCUGAUUGAAAUGCUGGGAGAUUUUUUCAGCAGGGUCUCAAGCCAUAUUUAGAGACCAUAAUUUAAGUAACCACCUAGCAACCAUCCAGAACACCAGCACUGUGGUGCACUGGUGAAAGGAGAAGCAGGGAGGAAAAGAAAUGGAGAACAAUGGCAGGUUAGAUAAAUAUAAAUGUAGGAAGGCUGGGUAAAACUCAAUGGAGAGGAAGACCCACUUAUGUUAUUUACACCAAAAUGACAUUCCCAUCGCUGGAACCUCACAGGAGCUCCACGCCACCACUUACACUUACAGCCUGAUUCUUUAUUCAAGGACGGGCCUUUGAAGUUACCAAGGAAACCCAGAGCUCCUCGGACUGCUCCUCUUCAACAUUUCCAUAUCAAAGCCUCCUCACCUGGCUAUCAUCUGUCAAACGGCAAUUAAAA